rnacentral:rRNA from 1 species
GACGAACGCUGGCGGCGUGCUUAACACAUGCAAGUCGAACGGAAAGGCGCGGCUCUUGUGGGGUGCUCGAGUGGCGAGCGGGGGAGUAAAACGCGAGGAACCUGCCCUUGACUUUGGGAUAACUUCAGGAAACUGGGGCGAAUACCGGAUAGGAGCUACUGCUGCAUGGGGGGGGUUGGAAAGUUUCGGCGGUGGGGGAUGGAAUCGCGGCUUAUCAGCUUGAUGGUGGGGUAGGGGAUUACCAGGGGUUUGACGGGUAGCCGGCCUGGGAGCUGGGCCGGCCACCUUGCGCCUGCGGUACGGCCCAGACUCCUACGGGCGGCAGCGGUCGGGAAUCUUGCGCAGUGGGCGGGCGCCUGAUACGGCGGCCCCGCGUGCGUGAUGCCGGCCUUCGGGUUGUAAACCGCUUUCGACUUUAACGAGGCGUGAGUGACGGUAAUGAGUCAGAAAGCACCGGCUAACUACGUG